rnacentral:tRNA from 2 species
GCGGGUGUAACUCAGUUGGUAGAGUGCCAGCCUUCCAAGCUGGUUGUCGCCGGUUCGAACCCGGUCGCCCGCUCCA